CCUACGGGAGGCUGCAGUGGGGAAUAUUGCACAAUGGGGGAAACCCUGAUGCAGCGACGCCGCGUGAGCGAUGAAGUAUUUCGGUAUGUAAAGCUCUAUCAGCAGGGAAGAAAAUGACGGUACCUGACUAACAAGCCCCGGCUAACUACGUGCCAGCAGCCGCGGUAAUACGUAGGGGUCAAGCGUUAUCCGGAUUUACUGGGUGUAAAGGGAGCGUAGACGGCGGUGCAAGCCAGAUGUGAAAGCCCGGGGCUCAACCCGGGGAGUGCAUUUGGAACUGGGCUGCUAGAGUGUCGGAGAGGCAGGCGGAAUUCGUAGUGUAGCGGUGAAAUGCGUAGAUAUUAGGAGGAACCCCAGUGGCGAAGGCGGCCUGCUGGACGAUGACUGACGUUGAGGCUCGAAAGCGUGGGGAGCAAACAGGAUUAGAUACCCCAGUAGUC
rnacentral:rRNA from 1 species